CACAGGCUAAUCUGAAUCCUCCAGAUAAGCCUCCACAGCUCAGGAGGCAGAGCGGGGAAACAAACCCGGUUCCUCCAGAUUAGAGUGCGCCUGCUCUUAACCACUACGCCACUGCUGCUCCUUUUCAACUUUGGGAAGUCUACCUCUGUCCCGUUCCUUUGAUUUCUGCUCUUUCUCCAGGUGCUCGUUCCGUCCCACAAAGAAUGGGGAUGGAGGCAUCUGGAACGUUUAGUGUAUCCGACGCUGGGGGUUACUUCUCCUACCUUUUCAAGUUUUGACUAUGACUGGGCUAACACUGGCUAAACAAACGGGACCUCCUGGUCUGAGCACACUGGGAUUUUUUAAAAAACUGAGCACUGGACACUUGGAGAGGCUGGAAGAAGUGGCUUUGAAGGUACUUCGCAAACCCGUCGUCGACUGGGCGAACCCAGUAAUAGCUGCUCUUGUGGGACAGGGGCUUGGGGAAUACCUCACUCUUGUCUGUUUUGACAAACAAAGGAGGCCAGACUGGAAGCUGGGUGGGUUUUCUGAAAGGACUGGUUUCCCAUUCACUGGAUGCUGCUGCCUCACCGACCUCUGGGUUCUCAUCAGCCGGGAAUGUGGCCCAUUCUUUGUAAGUGGAGGCGGCGAAAUUGUAGAUAUUGUACUUUACAAAGCGCAGGGAGGGAGAAGCAGCCGCCGUUCCCCAAAGCAACCUGGAGUGCUGGGGGAUUAUUUUGUUUUUCUGCAACUCUGUCUGAAGCUGUCCCCGCCCCUGACAAAACAAAGAAUCUUUCCGCCGCCCCCCCCCCCCAAAAAAAAUUCAACAUUCUCAUCUGCAGAGUUAAACUCACAGCAAUGGAGUCUGUGCCUUGUCAAGCCCACCCAGUAAUUGGGGUUGGAUCAAUCUUUUGGCUUGCAGGUAGUUCGUCCUAAAUAGCCUACACAGUAAGAAGAAGAAGAAGAAGAGUUUGGAUUUAUAUCCCCCCUUUCUCUCCUGCAGGAGAUUCAAAGGGGCUUACAAUCUCCUUGCCCUUCCCCCCUC